AUACGUAGGGGGCAAGCGUUAUCCGGAUUUACUGGGUGUAAAGGGAGCGUAGACGGAAGGCCAAGUCUGAUGUGAAAGCCCGCGGCUCAACUGCGGGACUGCAUUCCAAACUGGGUAUCUAGAGUGCAGGAGAGGAAAGCGGAAUUCCUAGUGUAGCGGUGAAAUGCGUAGAUAUUAGGAGGAACACCAGUGGCGAAGGCGGCUUUCUGGACGGAAACGGACACUGAGGCAGGAAAGCGUGGGUGGAAAACAGGAUUAGAUACCCUGGUAGUCCACGCCGUAAACGAUGGGUACUAGGUGUAGGAGGUAGCGACCCCUUCUGUGCCGUAGUUAACACAAUAAGUACCCCGCCUGGGGAGUACGGUCGCAAGACUAAAACUCAAAGGAAUUGACGGGG
rnacentral:rRNA from 1 species